rnacentral:rRNA from 1 species
AGAGCGAACGCUGGCGGCAGGCCUAACACAUGCAAGUCGAGCGCUCCGCAAGGGGAGCGGCAGACGGGAGAGUAACACGUGGGAACGUACCCUUCAGUUCGGAACAACCCAGGGAAACUUGGGCUAAUACCGAAUACGUCCGUAAGGAGAAAGAUUUAUCGCUGAAGGAUCGGCCCGCGUCUGAUUAGCUUGUUGGUGAGGUAACGGCUCACCAAGGCGACGAUCAGUAGCUGGUCUGAGAGGAUGAUCAGCCUCACUGGGACUGAGACACGGCCCAGACUCCUACGGGAGCAGCAGUGGGGAAUAUUGGACAAUGGGCGCAAGCCUGAUCCAGCCAUGCCGCGUGGUGAUGGAAGGCCCGUAGGGUUAGUAAAGUCCCGUUUCGGGCGGGGGAAAGAGUAAGUGGAACCGGUACCCGCGAAGGAAGAACGGCCCCCGGACUAACCGU